GGGUGCGAUCAUACCAACGUUAAUGCACCAGAUCCCAUUAGAACUCCACAGUUAAGCGCGCUUGGGCUAGAGUAGUACUGGGAUGGGUGACCUCCCGGAAGUUGUAGUGUUGCACCCU
rfam:Picea glauca, whole genome shotgun sequence.